UAUUAUAUAGGUGAUGGAGUUCACCAUUAAAUGCUUAAGAAGCUAAUGACUCCUACUCUUUU
rfam:Clostridium chauvoei JF4335, WGS project CBML01000000 data, contig: 00001